rnacentral:rRNA from 1 species
GUCCACGCCGUAAACGAUGAGCGCUAGCUGCUGGGAAUGUUUACCGUCUCAGUGGCGAAGCUAACGCAUUAAGCGCUCCGCCUGGGAAGUACGGCCGCAAGGCUAAAACUCAAAGGAAUUGACGGGGGCCCCGCACAAGCGGUGGAGCAUGUGGUUUAAUUCGAAGCAACGCGCAGAACCUUACCCAGGCUUGACAUCCCGGGAACCCCGUGGAAACGCGGGGGUGCCUUCUCACGAAGGAGCCCGGAGACAGGUGCUGCAUGGCUGUCGU